AACGCACAUUGCGCCCCCUGGUAUUCCGGGGGGCAUGCCUGUUCGAGCGUCAUUUCACCACUCAAGCCUCGCUUGGUAUUGGGCGACGCGGUCCGCCGCGCGCCUCAAAUCGACCGGCUGGGUCUUUCGUCCCCUCAGCGUUGUGGAAACUAUUCGCUAAAGGGUGCCGCGGGAGGCCACGCCGUAAAACAACCCCAUUUUCCAAGGUUGACCUCGGAUCAGGUAGGGAUACCCGCUGAACUUAA
rnacentral:misc_RNA from 1 species